rnacentral:lncRNA from 13 species
CAUGUUGAAACCAUUCCGCCCUCCUAGAUCUCCAGGAGGGGAGGCCUCCAAGAUACAUACUCUGCUAUUUUGUUCCAUGGCCUCAAUGAGAUAAUGAUAAUUUGCUUGCAUAUUCCUCCUGCAUUUCAUUGUUCUCACCAUUCAGUUCUAAGCUGAGAUUGCCCAAUUUCUAUUUGUAGACAUGAACAUUCCUUUAAGAUGCACAUUCCUGGAGGGAUCCCAAGAUGGCCGAAUAAGAGGCACUUCCAGAAAGCAGCUCGCAUUGAGAGAGACACAGAAACCGAGUGGUCCCCAGAAUUUCAAAUGAGGAGGAGAUAACUUCAGGGCCAUCUAAAAUUUUGCAGAAAGGAACGAAUGCUUUUAAGACAUUGCAGCAAGUUGCUGAUGCCCAGCAGUCUGGUUGCUCAAGACGUUAUCUGAGACUGAAGAAACACAACUUUUCCCCUCUGUUCCCUGAAACUUCCCCUCCCUUACUUUCUAUCCAAAUAAAAAUUCCCUGCUUUAUCUCUUUGUUAAAACAGAGCUGAGAGAUUUUGCUUUCUUGCCUCCUCACUUUGGUCGAAUGGAAUACAUUUUUCUCUUAUCACCAAGCACCCAUGUCUUAGUGUAUGAUUUUAGCUGUGCAUGAGGUACAGAAGCCUGAAUUUGGGGUUCUGCAACAGGGCCUUUAGAUAAUUAACUGAUCUUAUCUACCCUCAGAAUAGGUUUAGUGACCUUAUAAAGAGCUGGAGGGAACUAGUUAGGCCCCUUCUGUCCCUUUUGCCCUUCUGCCUUCUGCCAUGUGAGGAUGCAGCAACAUUGCACACCUUUUGGAAGCAGAGAAUAGCCCUCACCAGAUGCUGAACCUGCUGGUGCCUUAAUCUUGAACUUUCAGCCUUCAGAACUGUGAGAAGUAAAUUUCAAUUCUUUAUAAAUUACCCAGUCUAAGGUAUUUUGUUAUAGCAACAUGAUCGAAG